UCCCCAAAGCUUUUUUCUUUAAUUUUUUUUUCUUUCUUUUCAUUCGGCUCCCACUUCUCAAGCUCUUAAAAGUUAAAAACCCAUUUUUCAUUUCCCAUCCAACUCCAUUUUUUUUUUCUCUCUCUAACCCAUUUUCAUUUUCACCAUGCGGAGCUCUCUCUCACCAUGGUCGAGCUCUCUCUCUCACAUCUCCACUGCCCCUAGCAACCGCCCUAGCCCUAGCCGCUGCCACCGCCAUCGCCCUAGCUGUAGCCGCCGCCGCCAUAGAUCUACUCUCUCUCACCUCAGCCACCACCCAUUGCCAUUAAUGGAAUAAUGAUUAUUUUCAUUUUUCAUAGUAUUUUUCUUAUCAUUGUUAUUGUUUUUUUCUCCAGGAUAGAAGCUUUACUUUCAUUUUGAAGACACCCCCUACUUCAGUUCUGCUCUUAAAAGCUGCAGUGUGUUUCAGGGCUAUUACCAAUUUGAUGUAGUAACUUAUUGAGUGGUUAUUACUUGAAUCAAGCUUCGUUUUCAUACAUCCAACAUGUAAUGUUACAGCUUACAAGUAGAAUCUAGAAAACUAGAAUUUUUCAUCACUGAUGUUUUCAUAUGGGAAAAUAUACUUAUUUGAAAAAGUGGAGCAUCUUCGAUUUGAUUUCGGCAUUGACUCUGAUUGUGCUAGAUGAAAAGUGAACUCAUUAUUAUCUUGCUAAGGGCUCAUUAGAAUACUCAUAAUGGAGAAAUUGUGCGGAAAGUUUACUACGCUUUUUGAAAGGCCUCUUAAAUGAAAUACUCAUCUACAAACAUAACAAGCGAGCACCUGUCAGUGGCUCCAGACCAUAAAUUUUGAGAUGCUUAAAUCCUAAUGAACAACAAAUAUGAUGAUGAACUUUAAAGGGGAGAGUUUGGAGUAAUUUGAUUGUGUUCUAUACAAUUAAUUUGAGGUGGAAAAAGUGCUCGAUCCUUUAAGUUCUUCAUUUGAUCAUCUCUCAAACCCACACUCACUGUAAGUUCUUCUUUUCUUUCUAAAGGUUUUUUUUUUUUUUUUUUUAAUAAUUUUUUUUGUUAAUUAAUAGAGAGAAUGUUCGGCAAUGCUUUGAAGAUCUCACACUAAAGGUAUUCUAUUUCAGAAAGUCUUACAUUUUAUUUAACUGUCAUCUUGUAACAGCAAUGUUUCAAUAGCUUGUUAGACUCUGCCUCACUUGGUAAUGUUCCUGUUGUUAUCUAUUGGAGGGUGAAAGAAUUCCUCGCUGGUUUGAUUGA